rnacentral:rRNA from 1 species
UACGUAGGGGGCAAGCGUUAUCCGGAUUUACUGGGUGUAAAGGGAGCGUAGACGGCAGGGCAAGUCUGGAGUGAAAGGCAGGGGCCCAACCCCUGGACUGCUCUGGAAACUGUCCGGCUGGAGUGCAGGAGAGGUGAGUGGAAUUCCUAGUGUAGCGGUGAAAUGCGUAGAUAUUAGGAGGAACACCAGUGGCGAAGGCGGCUUACUGGACUGUAACUGACGUUGAGGCUCGAAAGCGUGGGGAGCAAACAGG